rnacentral:rRNA from 1 species
AUUGAACGCUGGCGGCAGGCCUAACACAUGCAAGUCGAACGAGUGGCGGACGGGUGAGUAAUGUCUGGGAAACUGCCUGAUGGAGGGGGAUAACUACUGGAAACGGUAGCUAAUAACGCAUACCAUCAGAUGUGCCCAGAUGGGAUUAGCUUGUUGGUGGGGUAACGGCUCACCAAGGCGACGAUCCCGAGCUGGUCUGAGAGGAUGACCAGCCAAACUGGAACGGAGACACGGGCCAGACGCCUACGGGAGGCAGCAGUGGGGAAUAUUGCGCAAUGGGGGCAAGCCUGAGGCAGCCAAGCCGCGUGUAUGAAGAAGGCCUUCGGGUUGUAAAGUACUUUCAGCGGUGAGGCGUUACCCGAAGAGGAGGCAACGGCUAACUACGUGCCAGCAGCCGCGGUAAUAG